CGCUACCUGAUGACGACGGUCCUGCUCCAUUCUGGCAUCUUAUUAUUGUCGCCUCUGCUUUUUUCCCGAUGUUUUUCUUCGACGUAGGGUUCAUCGAUUGAACUUUUAUGAGAGAGAGAGGUAAUCAGGAAUUAGACAGUCAGAUUGAUUGCAGAGAGGAAAUGACGAUUGGAAGGAAAAUUGAUGUCUUGGGAUAAAUAUAUGUUUGGAAAAUUUUGAGGAAGAUGAAUUGGAUAAUUGGACACGUACGUCUAUG
rnacentral:lncRNA from 1 species